AGAGAGAGACAUGCGCGCAUAUCAAUAAGCGGAGGAAAAGAAACUAACUAGGAUUCCCUUAGUAACGGCGAGUGAAGCGGGAAGAGCUCAAAUUUGAAAUCUUCAGGGUUCUACCUUGACGAAUUGUAGUUUAUAGAAGUGUUUUCUGUUAGUGGAGUGGCAAAAGUUCCUUGGAAUAGGACAUCAUAGAGGGUGAGAAUCCCGUAUUUGGUCAUUCCUCCUAGCGUUGUGAUACACUUUCAACGAGUCGGAUUGUUUGGGAAUGCAGUCCAAAAUGGGUGGUAAAUUUCAUCUAAAGCUAAAUAUUGGCGAGAGACCGAUAGCGAACAAGUACCGUGAGGGAAAGAUGAAAAGAACUUUGAAAAGAGAGUUAAACAGUACGUGAAAUUGUCAAAAGGGAAGCGUUUGACACCAGUGUUGUUUUUCCGAAAAUCAAUUACGAAUGUUUUAGUUUUUGAGGAGUUAUGACUUCAUCGGCUUGCUCCUUUCUUUAUGAAACUUUCUUAAUGCACUUUUCGGUUAACAAGUCAACAUCAAUUUCUUUUGUUGUAAAAGGGUAUGAGGAAGGUGGCUUUCUUUUCGGAGAAAGUGUUUAUAGCCUUGUGCCUCUGCAAUCGGAGAGAUUGAGGUCUGCAGCGUAGAUCCUUCGGGGUUAGAUACGUUUGUGCUAAGUUAUAGCUUUUCAUAGACAACUUGUUGACUAUGUUUAGUCUUGUAGCUUACUCGCUUACUGCUAUUUUACCUACGCUUAGGAUGUUGAUAGUCACAGCGUGUAC
rnacentral:rRNA from 1 species